UUGCAACGGGCAAAGGGAAUCCGACUGUUUAAUUAAAACAAAGCAUUGCGAUGGCCGAGGUCGGUGUAGACGCAAUGUGAUUUCUGCUCAGUGCUCUGAAUGUCAAAGUGAAGAGAUUCAAACAAGCGCGGGUAAACAGCGGGAGUAACUAUGACUCUCUUAAGGUAGCCAAAUGCCUCGUCAUCUAAUUAGUGACGCGCAUGAAUGGAUUAACGAGAUUCCUACUGUCCCUAUCUGCUUCUAGCGAAACCACAGCCGAGGGAACGGGCUCGGCGAAAUCGGCGGGGAAAGAAGACCCUGUUGAGCUUGACUCUAUUCUAAUUUUGUGACGCAAGUUAGGAGGUGUAGCAUAGGUGGGAGACUUCGGUCGCCAAUGAAAUACCACUACUCUUAAUCUUGUUUUACUUAUGGCGUUAGACUGCACGAUCUUUACGGUCUAUUUUAGCAUCAACUUGGAUUAUGGUAUAUGCCUUUCGGGGUAAUGCCGCCUUGGAGCAGCGUGCCUGACAUAUUUAGGAGGGGAGUUUGGCUGGGGCGGCACAUCUUCUACAAGACAACGAAGGUGUCCAAAGAUAAGCUCAGUGAGAACAGAAAUCUCACGUAGCGCAAAAGGGUAAAAGCUUGUUUGAUUUCGAUUUUCAGUGUGAGUUGAAAACGCGAAAGCGUGGCCUAUCGAUCCUUUCACAAUUCGAGGUUUGAAGCGAGA
rnacentral:rRNA from 1 species